ACGCUGGCGGCACGCCUAACACAUGCAAGUCGAACGAAGUAUCAAUACUUAGUGGCAGACGGGUGAGUAACAUGUAGGUAUCUGCCCUUUGGCCUGGAAUAACACGAGGAAACUUGUGCUAAUACCGGAUAAGUCUUUACGGAGAAAGCUUUAUGCACCAUUGGAUGAGCCUGCACUUGAUUAGUUUGUUGGUGGGGUAAUGGCCUACCAAGACUGUGAUCAAUAGCUGAUUUGAGAGGAUGAUCAGCCACAUUGGGACUGAGACACGGCCCAAACUCCUACGGGAGGCAGCAGUGGGGAAUCUUGCACAAUGGAGGAAACUCUGAUGCAGCGAUGCCGCGUGAGUGAAGAAGGCCCUUGGGUUGUAAGGCUCUUUCGUCGGGGAAGAAAAUGACUGUACCCGAAUAAGAAGGUCCGGCUAACUUCGUGCCAGCAGCCGCGGUAAUACGAAGGGACCUAGCGUAGUUCGGAAUUACUGGGCUUAAAGAGUUCGUAGGUGGUUGAAAAAGUUAGUGGUGAAAUCCCAGAGUUUACCUCUGGAACUGCCAUUAAAACUUCUCAGCUAGAGUAUGGUAGAGGAAAGCAUAAUUUCUAGUGUAGAGGUGAAAUUCGUAGAUAUUAGAAAGAAUACCAAUUGCGAAGGCAGCUUUCUGGAUCAUAACUGACACUGAGGAACGAAAGCAUGGGUAGCGAAGAGGAUUAGAUACCCUCGUAGUCCAUGCCGUAAACGAUGUGUGUUAGACGUUGGAAAUUUAUUUUCAGUGUCGCAGGGAAACCGAUAAACACACCGCCUGGGGAGUACGACCGCAAGGUUAAAACUCAAAUGAAUUGACGGGGACCCGCACAAGUAGUGGAGCAUGUGGUUUAAUUCGAAGAUACGCGCAGAACCUUACCAACACUUGACAUGUUCGUCGCGACUCUAAGAGAUUAGAGUUUUCGGUUCGGCCGGACGAAACACAGGUGCUGCAUGGCUGUCGUCAGCUCGUGUCGCGAGAUGUUGGGUUAAGUCCCGCAACGAGCGCAACCCUCACUUUUAGUUGCCAUCAUUAAGUUGGGCACUCUGAAAGAACUGCCAGUGAUAAGCUGGAGGAAGGUGGGGAUGACGUCAAGUCCUCAUGGCCCUUACGUGUUGGGCUACACACGUGCUACAAUGGUAUCUACAACAGGAAGCAAGACUGCGAAGUUAAGCAAAUCCCUAAAAGAUACCUCAGUUCGGAUUGCACUCUGCAACUCGAGUGCAUGAAGCUGGAAUUACUAGUAAUCGUGGAUCAGCGUGCCACGGUGAAUGCGUUCCCGGGUCUUGUACACACCGCCCGUCACACCAUGGGAGUUGGUUCUACCUUAAGGCAAGGUUUCAAACCCUUGACCACGGUAUAGUCAGCGACUGGGGUGAAGUCGUAACAAGGUAGCCGUAGGGGAACCUGCGGCUGGAUUACCUCCUUUCU
rnacentral:rRNA from 1 species